rnacentral:tRNA from 1 species
GCCCGGGUGGCGGAACUGGUAGACGCAAGGGACUUAAAAUCCCUCGGUGGCAACACUGUGCGGGUUCGAUUCCCGCCCCGGGCACCA